rnacentral:misc_RNA from 1 species
UUGAUUCAUUCUUCGCUUGUACGCCGAGAUGCCGCUGACAGUUGAGUACUGGGGCCCUCCGGCGGGCGCCUUGGUCCGGGCCGCUGGGGCGCCGGGGCGGUCCCGCCGAGGCAACGUGCGUGGUACGGUUCGCAGGGGGUUUGGGAGUUGUAAACUCGUUAAUGAUCCCUCCGCUGGUUCACCAACGGAGA